rnacentral:rRNA from 1 species
AUUGAACGCUGGCGGCAUGCCUUACACAUGCAAGUCGAACGGCAGCACGGGAGCGAUCCUGGUGGCGAGUGGCGAACGGGUGAGUAAAGUAUCGGAACGUGCCCAGCCGUGGGGGAUAACGUAGCGAAAGUUACGCUAAUACCGCAUACGAUCUAUGGAUGAAAGCGGGGGAUCGCAAGACCUCGCGCGAUUGGAUCGGCCGAUAUCAGAUUAGGUAGUUGGUGGGGUAAAGGCUCACCAAGCCGACGAUCUGUAGCUGGUCUGAGAGGACGACCAGCCACACUGGGACUGAGACACGGCCCAGACUCCUACGGGAGGCAGCAGUGGGGAAUUUUGGACAAUGGGCGAAAGCCUGAUCCAGCCAUGCCGCGUGCAGGAUGAAGGCCUUCGGGUUGUAAACUGCUUUUGUACGGAACGAAAAGGUUUGGCCUAAUAAGCUGAGCUCAUGACGGUACCGUAAGAAUAAGCACCGGCUAACUACGUGCCAGCCGCCGCGGUAA